GAUGAACGCUGGCGGCGUGCCUAAUACAUGCCAGUCGAGCGAACGGACGAGAAGCUUGCUUCUCUGAUGUUAGCGGCGGACGGGUGAGUAACACGUGGAUAACCUACCUAUAAGACUGGGAUAACUUCGGGAAACCGGAGCUAAUACCGGAUAAUAUUUUGAACCGCAUGGUUCAAAAGUGAAAGACGGUCUUGCUGUCACUUAUAGAUGGAUCCGCGCUGCAUUAGCUAGUUGGUAAGGUACCGGCUUACCAAGGCAACGAUGCAUAGCCGACCUGAGAGGGUGAUCGGCCACACUGGAACUGAGACACGGUCCAGACUCCUACGGGAGGCAGCAGUAGGGAAUCUUCCGCAAUGGGCGAAAGCCUGACGGAGCAACGCCGCGUGAGUGAUGAAGGUCUUCGGAUCGUAAAACUCUGUUAUUAGGGAAGAACAUAUGUGUAAGUAACUGUGCACAUCUUGACGGUACCUAAUCAGAAAGCCACGGCUAACUACGUG
rnacentral:rRNA from 1 species